GCCUCCAGCAGAACGUAUGGCACAGAUUAAAUAUGUCUGUGACCAUACCUGGACUUGUAACUAGCUCUGUCAGAAAUCUGCUUGCUUCAGUCUCCUGGAAUUAAAGGCAUGUACUACCUUGCCUGGGCCUAAAUUUUCAUAGCUAUUAUAUACUUCAAGAUCUGGAUCAAAAGUGAGUGUCAUCCCAUGUCAAGAUUUGAGUUAGAAGCCUGUGUCUUCCAGUCUCAAGACGUAGAUCACAGUUAUGUCCUCCAUUUCUGAACUGUAGUUCAUUUCAGAUAUAGUCAAGCUGACCAACAGUAAUAUAGUCAUAUAUGAUCUUUCAGGAAAAGGUGAAUGCAGCAGAGGAAGAGAUCUGCAAUCUAGUGGGUAAUAUAACACAUUUUGUGUAAGCAAGCCUUUUGCUUCUGCACUCACUCAUUAUUCAAUGGGCUCACAAAUAAAGUACCUAUUGUGGAAGAGAUGGAGUUAUGCAUAGGCUUAACAAUUUUUACUUUUCAAAUCUGACCUGAUUGCAGCAGUUGCUAAGUGCUAGAUACAUCAGAAAAGAUAAAAUAUGAGACAUUAGGGUGACCAGCUAGACAUCUAGGGGUGAUUGACUACAUGAGAUCACUCCCUAUAUGGAAAGGACAAACCUUUUUUUUUUUUGAUAUAGGAAUAAAAUAGCCUCUUGAUAUAUUUACCUGCUUUCAAUAUAAUACUUCAGCCAAAACUAAUGUAUAUAGACUUACAAAAUGCCUUACCCUGUAUCAUGUCAUUCUAAUCAGAAUUGUUUCACAAACACACAAAUAUGCCAGUGAACCCAUGCUAAUGAGACCCAAUCAUCUUUUCAUGUUCUAUACGAUCCUAAAGCAGCUUCUUCAGGUUAUAGGAUGUUGAAAUAGACAUUUGACGACACUGCUAUGCACCAAUUAUGUGUCAGUAGCUUGGAGAGCUGGGGCAGGGUUUUCCAGAGGGUAGUAUAAAGUGUGACUCAGCUUCUAGUAUAUGGUAUUAUUUCUCUUAUAGUCAAAAUUUACAGGUCUAGGAAUCAUAAGAUAAAAACGAGUAUGGUUCUAUUCACUAUUACCCUCAGUCUACCACUGGGAAAAUUUUUACUUAGUGUUCUCAUAACCUUAAGCUCUGGUGGCCUAGAAGAUUUAGUUCCACAGAGAAAAGCAUUCCUGCUAAGAGACACAGCAUCCCAGUGAACUAGAAGUACAGACUUUCCAUUGGUCACUUUUGGCUUAAUAAGAAAGGAAUAAUAGUGUUAGGACAGGUGAUUGAUCCAGAUUACCAAUGGGAAUUUUUAUGGCUUUUCUACAAGUAAACAUAGAAAAAUUAUAUCAGAAGUAAAGGAGAUUCUUUAGGCUGUAUUAUGGUUCUACCAUGUUUUGUUACAAAUGUCAGUGGCGAACUACAACACAAUUCAAGGUGACAAAGUGCCCAGAUCAUUACGGAAUGAAAGUAUGAGUCAGUCCUCCAGAAAAAAAAUCCCUGCUAAAGCUUCUUUUAAACAUUAAACACACACACACACACACACACACACACACACACAACAUAUAUACAAAAUUAUAUAUAUGAAAUUAUAAUGAAAAAAUCCCUUUACAACAAUAUAAACUAAUGGUCAAAUAUUGUGAUAACAGCUAUCAUCUUCAUAGAUGAAAUAGGAUACAUCUAGAUAAUUUUAUAUGUAUUAAUGUAUUAUACAUUUUUGUUUCAAUACAUGUAUAUAUUAUAUCU
rnacentral:lncRNA from 1 species